AACGAACGCUGGCGGCAGGCCUAACACAUGCAAGUCGAGCGAAGCCUUCGGGCUUAGCGGCGGACGGGUGAGUAACGCGUGGGAACGUGCCCUUUGGUACGGAAUAGCCCCGGGAAACUGGGAGUAAUACCGUAUGUGCCCUUCGGGGGAAAGAUUUAUCGCCAAAGGAUCGGCCCGCGUUGGAUUAGGUAGUUGGUGGGGUAAUGGCCUACCAAGCCGACGAUCCAUAGCUGGUUUGAGAGGAUGAUCAGCCACACUGGGACUGAGACACGGCCCAGACUCCUACGGGAGGCAGCAGUGGGGAAUCUUAGACAAUGGGGGAAACCCUGAUCUAGCCAUGCCGCGUGAUCGAUGAAGGCCUUAGGGUUGUAAAGAUCUUUCAGUGGGGAAGAUAAUGACUGUACCCACAGAAGAAGCCCCGGCUAACUCCGUGCCAGCAGCCGCGGUAACAC
rnacentral:rRNA from 1 species